rnacentral:rRNA from 1 species
GACAGAGGUGCCAAGCGUUAGGCGGAAUCACUGGGCUUAAAGCGUGUGUAGGCGGGCGACUCAAGUACCUUGUGAAAUCCCACGGCUCAACCGUGGAACUGCUGGGUAUACUGGUUGUCUUGAGCCAGCUAGGGCGAGCGGAACAGACGGUGGAGCGGUGAAAUGCGUAGAUAUCGUCUGGAACGCCGAAGGUGAAAACAGCUCGCUGGGGCUGCGCUGACGCUGAGACACGAAAGCCAGGGGAGCGAACGGG